UCGGCUACACCAAUUUCGAGC
rnacentral:misc_RNA from 1 species